AGCUUUGGAGCUCUCUCUCAAACCACCUAAAUCCGGCCAUGGUCGCCGGCCGUGGCCGCCGCCGUAACGCCACCGUACGCGGUGGCCGGCGUCGCGCGAAAGGGUUUUUUAGCCCUCAUUUUCAAUGAUCUGAAGACCAAGCCUUCUCAACCAAAAAAAACUGAAAGAAAGGAGCCGUCACCCCACCUCUUAGGGCCGAUUUCGACAACGGAGUAACGACCUCUGACAACGCGACCGAGGGACAUUCCAGGUGAGCUUUUCUUUUUUCUUUUUGUUAUUUAGUAUGUGAAAAAAAGGAAAACAAAAAGAAAACAAAAAGGAAUCAAACAAAGAAAGAAAAAAAAAUAGAAAUUUCACCUCUGAAAUUGAUUUUCUGUUUUCUUUUCUUUUAUUAAUGUUUGUCCAAAAAAAGAAGAGAGAGCAUUACAGAGAUGAUACUCAGCUUUUAUAGUUAAUUUUACUUGUUAUUUUAGUUUUCUUUCUUUUUCUUUUUCUCUGUUUGCUACUGUUCUUUGCAUGCUUUUCUUCUUUACAGGUGAUUGAUGGGCGGCGCCAGGUCUGGAGGCUAGGGUACGGCGACGGCAGAAGAGAAAAGGUCAGAAGCAGGUGGCGACUAGGAGCUAGGGUUUCAGCUUUUCUGAAACCCUAGUUUGACUUUGGUUUUUUUGGGGUUUGGAUAUUGGGCCUCAUGUUUGGGUUGCUGUAGUUGUUUUGGAUUAGGUUGUGGUGUAUUGGGUUUUGGGCCUGGUUGGGCUUGGGUUAGGUCUAUGUGGGUUUGGUAUUUUGGCUUGUAAUGGGUUAUUUGGGUAUUGGGUAGGUUUGGGUUUUGGGCCCGGGUAAAAUUGGGUCUGUACAUCGUCC
rnacentral:lncRNA from 1 species